rnacentral:rRNA from 1 species
UACGGGGGGGGCAAGCGUUGUUCGGAAUUAUUGGGCGUAAAGCGCGCGCAGGUGGUUUCUUAAGUCUGAUGUGAAAGCCCACGGCUCAACCGUGGAGGGUCAUUGGAAACUGGGGAACUUGAGUGCAGAAGAGGAAAGUGGAAUUCCAAGUGUAGCGGUGAAAUGCGUAGAGAUUUGGAGGAACACCAGUGGCGAAGGCGACUUUCUGGUCUGUAACUGACACUGAGGCGCGGAAGCGUGGGGAGCGAACAGG